GUUCCCUCCCUGGGAAGAGGCCAUAGCACAGCAAGGGUUAAACUGCAGACUCUGUUAUCCACUCAGCUGGACUGGGAGCAAUGCACACCAUCAAAAUUUGGACAGUCAAAACCAAGAGGCUGCUUGUCCCAGGUGACAGAGGAUGCUUGUGUGGUCUUCCAUGUCCAUCAAAGGAUUAAGCUUGUUGAACCAUCUGGAUGCAAGGCAGCUCAGAUUAGAAAUACUGAAUUAUCCAGGAGGAUUUAGCCUUUCAGCAAGGAGGAGUCUUUUCAGCACAGCACCAGACUGGUAUCUUCAUGAGUGAGAGGUGACCCAUUCUGAGCAAGAAAAGCCAUUAUUUAUUUUCUAGGGUAACUCCCUUUUGGUUUCAAAGGAGAGUGAGACUUAACAUUGAAUGUACAGCAAGG